GACGAACGCUGGCGGCGUGCCUAAUACAUGCAAGUUGAGCGCUGAAGGUUGGUACUUGUACCCACUGGAUGAGCAGCGAACGGGUGAGUAACGCGUGGGGAAUCUGCCUUUGAGCGGGGGACAACAUUUGGAAACGAAUGCUAAUACCGCAUAAAAACUUUAAACACAAGUUUUAAGUUUGAAAGAUGCAAUUGCAUCACUCAAAGAUGAUCCCGCGUUGUAUUAGCUAGUUGGUGAGGUAAAGGCUCACCAAGGCGAUGAUACAUAGCCGACCUGAGAGGGUGAUCGGCCACAUUGGGACUGAGACACGGCCCAAACUCCUACGAGAGGCAGCAGUAGGGAAUCUUCGGCAAUGGACGAAAGUCUGACCGAGCAACGCCGCGUGAGUGAAGAAGGUUUUCGGAUCGUAAAACUCUGUUGGUAGAGAAGAACGUUGGUGAGAGUGGAAAGCUCAUCAAGUGACGGUAACUACCCAGAAAGGGACGGCUAACUACGUG
rnacentral:rRNA from 1 species